UUGCUGCCCCGGGCUUUUGGAAUUCACCAUAUCUGUUUUACCAAGGGCCUGUUUGGUGUUUUGCUUUGGGUCAGUUACUGUAGCAAAACUCCGGCCCAAAGCAUGUUUGGUGAAAUCUGCUAUGCUUCCAAAUAGUGCUGAAACACUUCCAUUAUUGGGCCUAUUUUUAGAAGCAUCAUUUUGAUGCUUCUUGUUGCUUCCACUACUGUAGCCCGUAAAAUGCUUCUGCACUAUAACCCAUUAGUAGCCCAAAUACUUGAAGCAAUAUUUCCAAAAUAUCGCCACAAAUAUGAGAAGCAACCUAGAGCAACCCUAAGGCGAUUCGGAGGCGAUUUCACUGUGCACCGAGCUUCAACCAUCCCGUCGCUACAAACGACGUUUUUGCAGGCUCCGAUCGGUAAACAUAGCUUCAUUCUGUUCUUGUUCGUCUUCUUCUUCGUGUUGAUGGUACAGGAAUCAAGGUUGAGAUUCUCGUUAUGCUUGGAUGAUUUGUGGACUUGAAGGUUUCCAUUCUUGUAAAGGUUGGCUGAAACACCAUUUGUAGCCUUAUAUAUCAAAAUGUGUAUAUUUGAUUUUAAACAUGUAAUGUGUGCCUAAGCAGACCUUUUGGUAUUCAUUUUUAUGUGUAUGUAUAACAUGAGGGCAAGGGCCAUUAAUUUUUAAA